rnacentral:rRNA from 1 species
AGAGUUUGAUCCUGGCUCAGAGCGAACGCUGGCGGCGUGCUUAACACAUGCAAGUCGAGUGCGCGUCUGUAGCAAUACAGAUGGCGCACGGCGCACGGGUGCGUAACACGUGGGUAAUCUGCCCUUCGAUGGGGAAUAUCUUCGGGAAACCGAAGCGAAUUCCGCAUAACAUUCCUUGAACUUCGGUUUGGGGACUCAAAGCCGUAAGGCGUCGGAGGAGGAACCCGCGCACGAUUAGCUAGUUGGUAGGGUAACGGCCUACCAAGGCUUUGAUCGUUAGCUGGUCUGAGAGGAUGGCCAGCCACACUGGAACUGAGACACGGUCCAGACUCCUACGGGAGGCAGCAGUGGGGAAUCUUGCACAAUGGGCGAAAGCCUGAUGCAGCGACGCCGCGUGGGGGAUGAAGCUUUUCGGAGUGUAAACCCCUUUCGACCCGGACGAAUGCCCCGCAAGGGGACUGACGGUACGGGUAUAAGAAGCCCCGGCUAACUACGUGCCAGCAGCCGCGGUAAGACGUGGGGGGCCAGCGUUGCUCGGAAUUACUGGGUGUAAAGGGUUCGUAGGCGGUGUGGCAAGUCGGGAGUGAAAUCUCUGGGCUUAACUCAGAGUCUGCUUCCGAAACUGCUGUGCUUGAGUGUGGGAGAGGCGCGUGGAAUUGCAGGUGUAGCGGUGAAAUGCGUAGAUAUCUGCAGGAACACCCGUGGCGAAAGCGGCGCGCUGGACCACUACUGACGCUGAGGAACGAAAGCUAGGGGAGCAAACAGGAUUAGAUACCCUAGUAGUCC